GUUAUAUGGUCAAGUGAAGAAGCGCAUACGGUGGAUGCCUUGGCAGUCAGAGGCGAUGAAAGACGUGGUAGCCUGCGAAAAGCUUCGGGGAGUCGGCAAACAGACUUUGAUCCGGAGAUGUCUGAAUGGGGGAACCCAGCCAUCAUAAGAUGGUUAUCUUGUACUGAAUACAUAGGUGCAAGAGGCGAACCAGGGGAACUGAAACAUCUAAGUACCCUGAGGAAAAGAAAUCAACCGAGAUUCCCUUAGUAGUGGCGAGCGAACGGGGACUAGCCCUUAAGUGGCUUUGAGAUUAGCGGAACGCUCUGGAAAGUGCGGCCAUAGUGGGUGAUAGCCCUGUACGCGAAAAUCUCUUAGUCAUGAAAUCGAGUAGGACGGAGCACGAGAAACUUUGUCUGAAUAUGGGGGGACCAUCCUCCAAGGCUAAAUACUACUGACUGACCGAUAGUGAACUAGUACCGUGAGGGAAAGGCGAAAAGAACCCCGGAGAGGGGAGUGAAAUAGAUCCUGAAACCGUAUGCGUACAAGCAGUGGGAGCAGACUUUGUUCUGUGACUGCGUACCUUUUGUAUAAUGGGUCAGCGACUUAUUUUCAGUGGCGAGCUUAACCGAAUAGGGGAGGCGUAGCGAAAGCGAGUCUUAAUAGGGCGUCUAGUCGCUGGGAAUAGACCCGAAACCGGGCGAUCUAUCCAUGGGCAGGUUGAAGGUUGGGUAACACUAACUGGAGGACCGAACCGACUACCGUUGAAAAGUUAGCGGAUGACCUGUGGAUCGGAGUGAAAGGCUAAUCAAGCUCGGAGAUAGCUGGUUCUCCUCGAAAGCUAUUUAGGUAGCGCCUCAUGUAUCACUGUAGGGGGUAGAGCACUGUUUCGGCUAGGGGGUCAUCCCGACUUACCAAACCGAUGCAAACUCCGAAUACCUACAAGUGCCGAGCAUGGGAGACACACGGCGGGUGCUAACGUCCGUCGUGAAAAGGGAAACAACCCAGACCGUCAGCUAAGGUCCCAAAGUUAUGGUUAAGUGGGAAACGAUGUGGGAAGGCUUAGACAGCUAGGAGGUUGGCUUAGAAGCAGCCACCCUUUAAAGAAAGCGUAAUAGCUCACUAGUCGAGUCGGCCUGCGCGGAAGAUGUAACGGGGCUCAAACCAUACACCGAAGCUACGGGUAUCAUCUUAGGAUGAUGCGGUAGAGGAGCGUUCUGUAAGCCUGUGAAGGUGAGUUGAGAAGCUUGCUGGAGGUAUCAGAAGUGCGAAUGCUGACAUGAGUAACGACAAUGGGUGUGAAAAACACCCACGCCGAAAGACCAAGGUUUCCUGCGCAACGUUAAUCGACGCAGGGUUAGUCGGUCCCUAAGGCGAGGCUGAAAAGCGUAGUCGAUGGAAAACAGGUUAAUAUUCCUGUACUUCUGGUUAUUGCGAUGGAGGGACGGAGAAGGCUAGGCCAGCUUGGCGUUGGUUGUCCAAGUUUAAGGUGGUAGGCUGGAAUCUUAGGUAAAUCCGGGAUUCUAAGGCCGAGAGCUGAUGACGAGUCAUCUUUUAGAUGACGAAGUGGUUGAUGCCAUGCUUCCAAGAAAAGCUUCUAAGCUUCAGGUAACCAGGAACCGUACCCCAAACCGACACAGGUGGUUGGGUAGAGAAUACCAAGGCGCUUGAGAGAACUCGGGUGAAGGAACUAGGCAAAAUGGCACCGUAACUUCGGGAGAAGGUGCGCCGGUGAGGGUGAAGGACUUGCUCCGUAAGCUCAUGCCGGUCGAAGAUACCAGGCCGCUGCGACUGUUUAUUAAAAACACAGCACUCUGCAAACACGAAAGUGGACGUAUAGGGUGUGACGCCUGCCCGGUGCCGGAAGGUUAAUUGAUGGGGUUAGCUAACGCGAAGCUCUUGAUCGAAGCCCCGGUAAACGGCGGCCGUAACUAUAACGGUCCUAAGGUAGCGAAAUUCCUUGUCGGGUAAGUUCCGACCUGCACGAAUGGCGUAACGAUGGCGGCGCUGUCUCCACCCGAGACUCAGUGAAAUUGAAAUCGCUGUGAAGAUGCAGUGUAUCCGCGGCUAGACGGAAAGACCCCGUGAACCUUUACUAUAGCUUUGCACUGGACUUUGAAUUUGCUUGUGUAGGAUAGGUGGGAGGCUUUGAAGCGUGGACGCCAGUUCGCGUGGAGCCAACCUUGAAAUACCACCCUGGCAACUUUGAGGUUCUAACUCAGGUCCGUUAUCCGGAUCGAGGACAGUGUAUGGUGGGUAGUUUGACUGGGGCGGUCUCCUCCUAAAGAGUAACGGAGGAGUACGAAGGUGCGCUCAGACCGGUCGGAAAUCGGUCGUAGAGUAUAAAGGCAAAAGCGCGCUUGACUGCGAGACAGACACGUCGAGCAGGUACGAAAGUAGGUCUUAGUGAUCCGGUGGUUCUGUAUGGAAGGGCCAUCGCUCAACGGAUAAAAGGUACUCCGGGGAUAACAGGCUGAUACCGCCCAAGAGUUCAUAUCGACGGCGGUGUUUGGCACCUCGAUGUCGGCUCAUCACAUCCUGGGGCUGAAGCCGGUCCCAAGGGUAUGGCUGUUCGCCAUUUAAAGUGGUACGCGAGCUGGGUUUAGAACGUCGUGAGACAGUUCGGUCCCUAUCUGCCGUGGACGUUUGAGAUUUGAGAGGGGCUGCUCCUAGUACGAGAGGACCGGAGUGGACGAACCUCUGGUGUUCCGGUUGUCACGCCAGUGGCAUUGCCGGGUAGCUAUGUUCGGGAAAGAUAACCGCUGAAAGCAUCUAAGCGGGAAACUUGCCUCAAGAUGAGAUCUCACUGGAACCUUGAGUUCCCUGAAGGGCCGUCGAAGACUACGACGUUGAUAGGUUGGGUGUGUAAGCGCUGUGAGGCGUUGAGCUAACCAAUACUAAUUGCCCGUGAGGCUUGACCAUAUAACACCCAAGCAAUU
rnacentral:rRNA from 1 species